CUUCGAUACUCUCGAACUCGAGUCGAAGGACUCGAAGCUCCGGGCACGGUGUUUGAAAUUUGAAACGCCAAAGUGACAGCUGAGGAGAAAGACACAGAGUCUGUUCGUGCUUUCUCUUUUGGGAACAUGAAGGAAGGAAUGAGGAAAAUCAAUCGUGGAUAGUCGUUCGUGAAUCUGCUGGCAAGGAGUAACCCGCCUUCACCAUGUCAGGGGAUGGUGGCUGCUGCAAGUUGAAAGGCGUGGAGCAACGUUACCACAGUUUACGAGCACAGCUGGAUGAACUUGGGUUCCGCCAGCCUCUUGCUAUAGAAUGCCUGCCUUUAGUCGAAGCCCUCUUUGGAGACCUACUGCAAACCACAUCAAGCCUUGACCACUAUAAAAAGAAAGCUCAUGAAUUGGAUGAGCAAGUUCGUGUUCUGAACCGUGGGGUGCAACCAUUUCGAAACGACAAUGAACGCCUUGUUCGACAAAUCACAGAACUAAACCAACAGGUCACACAUAUCAGAGAAGAGGCCAAUAAUUCUGUUCUCGAUGCCAAAGCACGCUGUCGGAAAUUGGAGCAAGAAAAUGGAGAUCUUCAGUUUUUAGUUAGUCAGCAUUUAGCUCGCAUUCGUUCACUAGAGGUAGAGUCUGCUGAGAAGACCAAAAAGCUACUGCAACUUCAAAGUGCCCCAAGUGUGUCCUUAGGGAAAAAGAAGAUUGCACAAACCAAAGUAGAAAUACUUUCAUCAGUUGGCCCAACCAAGAAGCAACCCCCUGGUCGGCCAUGGCUCGAUGUCUUUAGUGGAGCUCUUACUCAAACUGAAGAUCCCUUUGUUGUCAACAUGGUGGAUAGAUCACAGGCUGAACUUCGAGCAUGUCGGUAUGAAAUGAAACUGUUACGAGAAGAAAGCGAAAAGCUCAAUGAGACCAUAUCUUCUCUGAAGCAACAGGUUCGGGACCGUGAUCUUGACAUAGCCAAACUUCACACUCAGCUAGAUAGUUGUAAAAGCCAUGCAUCUGCAAGGGAUCCUGAAGUUAUGCGAGAUGAUUACACUAUUGCAAAUCUAAGAGCAGCUAUUGGCUCAUUGGAAGACUCAAACCAGAGUUUGCGGUCACAACUUCAAGAUGCUUUAAGAAAACAGCAUGAAGCUAUGAUGAGGGCUGUGCGGCUAGCUGAACGUAAUCAAGUUCUUCAGGCUGAAAUAAGAAAUGUAGACAACGUUGCAAUGCGGGUGGAAGAUUCUUGUAACUAUACUGUCAAGGAAACUGCGCAGAGAAUUAUUGACUUACAAGAACAACUUACACAGUCUCAGAAGAUGGUAGCUGAGCUUGAACGAAGUGGAGUAGAAGCACGAUGCAACGUCCAAAAUCUCUUGAUGGACUUAGAAAAAUUAAGACUAGAAAAUAAGCAGCUCUUAGAAACACAAAGGCUAAGUAAUGCUCAAUCUCAUCUGCAGGCAGACAGAGUUGAGCUUUCACGAUAUCAGCAUGUUGAAGCAGAGUUAACCAAGGAAAUAGAAAAUCUGGUUGCUGCUGUGACCUAUCAGAAACAGAAAAUAGCAGACCUUGAGGAGAAAGUGGCCACAUCCAUGUCAGGUCCUUCACACAGCCGACCAAAUGGGGACAUUCGUUCUGACAAGGGCACUGGUAGUGGUACAUCAAAAGGAUCUACAAGUUCUGGAUCUGGACGUUCAAACCAAACCACAAAAAAGGGGUUGGUUUCAAAAAAGCCAGGCGCCACAAGUGGACCGAGCAAGAAUUCCACUGGGGACAACGCCAAGGUGCGUCCAACCAACCGUAGUGCUGCAAUUCAAACAGAUGUGAAGAGAAUUGAUUCAAAAGAAACUCAGGUUAAUCUUCCACGUGAGACUUACCAUGAACCUCCAGAAAGAGAGAACGCCAACAAGCCUGAGCGCAGGGGUUCACGACAAUCAGAUUAUCCUUAUAGUGAAUGCAGUGAAGGCCCCGGUAAACAUCGCAACAACCAGGAUGAUGCAAAUGUCGAGGGUAGGAGACAAGCCUAUGCCAGUGAGAAAGGAGACAAAUACAGGGAAACAGAAUACAGAAAGGAAAGAAGAAGAGAGCAUCAUAAAACAAGGAGAGAUGAAGAGGUUGAUGAAUAUAUUUCUGAAAGGUAUGCUGAAGAGGAUUCAGAAAGGUGGAACCAGGAUCAGAGAAAAGAUCAGGACAGAAGAUCAAAGGACAAUGCCAGAAGCAAGAAACAUGACGAUCCUGUAUCAGAUAGAUCUCAACCUAAUCAAAAGGUGGACCGUGGUAUUCAGAGUGAAGUCGGUCUCAGUUACCCCCACAGCCACCCUUGCAUGGAUGGGGCGGGUGAUGGGCCUUGGAAUGUGAAGACGCCUCCAGAUCUCUGUCCUAUUAUUAAAACUCUUGAAGCAGAGAGAAACUUUUUUGAAAAAGAAUACCAUCGCAUUAGAGAAUAUUUGGACAACAUGCCAGAAAAACCUGGGAGCACUGAUUUGCUGUGGAAACUAAGAGAGGCUCAUGCAGACCUUGAUGCCAUAAGAGCAGAGAACCAUAGACUGAAUCAAGAACUCAAAGACCUCUCCGCAGUAUACAGAUGUGAAGCUGCAGAUAGUCGUUCCCAUUCAGAUGUUAAUCGUGCCUUGGCUGAAAAGUACACAGAGGUCCAGCAAAGACUUAUUGCCAAAGAGAGAGAACUCCUCUCUGUGUGUGAAGAAAACCACUCAUUACUUUCUGAAAGAGAUGCUUUAAGAUUACUUGCUCAGAGGGAGACACAUGAGCGAGAACGCCUCAGUAGCGAACUUCACACUCUUGAAGUUGAGUUGGAUCUUCUUCGUGUGAAGAAGUCUGCGGAUGUUGAGAAAGACAGACUUCUAGAAGAGAACCGUUCUCUGAGAGUUGAAAUUGAUAUUCUACGUGGACAGAAAGGAUCAGACUCAACCCUUGAACGUGAAAGAGAAAGAGAGAAGGAGAGACUUCAAGAAGAAAACAAACGCCUUCGAGAAACUAUUGACACUCUGAAAACUUCUACAAUGUUUAGCUCAUCAGAGAAAAUGUGUUAUGAUAAACCUCCCCAAUCUGUCAUGUCUGUUGUUGAUGCCCUUCACGAUGCUCAAAAGCGAGUAUGGACCCUUGAAGCUGAUGGGAGAGAUGCUUCGCGCACAUUUGAUAAAGAAAUCCUUGACUUGCGGUCUCAACUUGCCAAUCGCACCAAGCAACUGGAUGCUGCCACACUCCAGUCAGAGGCAGCACGAACUCGUCUUGCUGAACUCCAGAACUCAUUGGGUCAAGCUAAUGCAAAUCAUAUGAAAAUGAAAGUUCUACUUGAAGAAACACAAAGAAAUUUAGAACAAACCCAAAAUGACUUGGGCAGACUGCAGAUGGACGCUGUAAACCAGCAAGAACACAUCCAAAAGCUGGAAUUCGACAGAGUUGCAUUGGAGAAGGAGGCCAACGCUUUACGCUCUGAGGUUCAAAGGUUGCACUCUUCCAUCAAUGAGCUGGAAAACGAAAAGGACGAACUCAUUCGAACAGCUGAUGAACGAGCAGAGCAAGUCCAAAUGUUGAGUGACGACAUACGUGAGCGGGAUAGCAGGAUCAAGCAGUUGGAGAAGGCCAUCAACGACCUACACUUUGCUGCCGAGCGCGACCAGAAGGUGCGGGCCGAGCUGGAGGAGUCGCUGCGCGCCAUGACGAGGGACUACGACGAGGCGGAGAACGCGAGGCGCAACCUGGCCGCGGCCAGCGAGGGCGCCGCCCGCGAGAACAAGCGUCUCCAGGAAGAGCUAGCCGCUAUGACGGCCUCUUUGCGAGCGACCACUGACAGCUACGAGGAGUCCUGUCGCGAAGUGGAAAACAUGAAGCGCCAACUGCAGAUCUACGUGUUGGAAGUGGAGCGCUUUGAGCAGCUGUUGGGAGAGAAGGAAGCAGAGAGGAGUGACAUGCUUGAGACUUUCCGCAAUUUGAGUGAUGAGGCUUCCAAAUUAGACACUCACAAUAUGACUCUAGAGACGGAGUACAACAGCAUGCGUGGCUCUCUGGACCAAUACCGAGAGCAAGUGCACUCUUUGAAUCACCAGCUCGCAGAAAAAGAUGAAAUUGUUGGGAGCUAUGAGAAACAGAUCGAGCAGCUCUCUGGGUCCAUUGCUCACUUAGAGAGGCAGGUGGAAGAGUCCCGCUUGGCAAGAGAGUCGACUGAGAGGGAUCUUCAGUCAGCCCAUGGGUUGGCUCGGCAGCUGGAAUCUCAGAAAGAAGCCCUUCAAGAUAUGUUGGACAACGUACAGCAACAAAAAGAAUAUGCAGAGCGCCAGACUCAAGAUUUGACUGAGCAGCAUGCUUUACUGGAACGACAACAGCAAGAGCUUCGAGCUACUAUACAGUCUAUGGAAAAUCUUCUCGCUGAAAGCAGAAGCCAAGCUUCUGCACAAGCUGCAAGAGCAGCUGAACUUGAGCAGGACAACCGAACGAUGACAUCUCAACUUGAGGCUCUGCAACAUACUGUCGACCAACUCACAUCUCGGGCAAACAAAGCUGAAGAACUUUUAGAAAGGAAUCGAGAGAAUGUUGUGGAAUAUGAAAGAAGAUUACAACAAAGUAUGUCACAAAUGGAGAAGCAAACUCAACAACAAUCUUCCCUAACAGCAAAUGCCAGUGAAAGGGAGCACGAAGUUCGACAAAUGAGAGCUGACAAUGAGCGUUUAGCGCAAACCCUUGAUGAUGCCAGAACUGAAGUUGAGAGGUGCAGAGACACCAUUGAAAAUUUGAAGGAGCGCAUUGCUGGUCUCGAAGAAUCAGAACGCUCUAGCCGAAGACAUGUUGCCGAUGCCAGGAGAGAAGCAGCUGAAAAUAUUCGCUACUCAGAAGAAAAUAGAAGCUCCUGCUCAUGUGGGCCUCCUGACAUGAGGAGGAAUGGCGUCAGUACGUGUUGCUGUGGACCUCCAACAGUGGAACAGAGCAAGAAGGUGACCAGCAGUGUAGCGUGUUCAUGCGAACCUCCACCCUCUGAGCCCAGAAACAGGAAUGUGGGCACCGAGCACUGUCCGUGCGGCCCGCCCCCUGCCGAACACAACAAGAAAAUUCAGGUUUCCCCACACUCAAAUCGGCCACAUGCCAGUCGCCGAACAUCCUCACAGAGGGAGGCACAUUCCUCUGCCAGAGGGGCUCAGUGGUAUGGAGGCGAUGUUCCUGAGCAGGCUGGUGAUAUAACAGCGCACAUCAGAAAUACUCGAUUUGAUGCUCAUGACCCCAGUGUAAGAUCAGCAGACUUGGGCUGGGUGCGGCCUAUGACACCAAAUCAAGCCAACUGUGGCCUUGAGCUGAAAAUGGAAGUCCCUCGACCAGCAUGCCAAGCUACAGAAAGCGAAAUGAGAGAGCGCACCCAAAUAUUCGGUUUACUUGAGAUUGAUAUGGCAUCCAAGAUGGCCAAAGGCGGCAUCCUCAUGCACAAUCAAGCCGGAAUGAGAAAUGGACAUUCUCCUAAAGUGCCUUCAACAGAAAGUGAAUUUGAGGGGAAAAAUAAAAACCCAUGCUUAAGAAUUAGUUCUAUAGCCAUUCCUAGGCUGCAUGCCAGCCCAGAAGAUGCACCAAAAUCAGCUUCUCUCUCAACAAGUGUUUCUUCAAAUGUUAGUCGAAGCACUACUCCUGGCCCGAACCCUCUCAUUCAAUUUCCCAGCAGUUGCCCUACAAGUCUUCUAUCCGGUUCAGCUAUUCACCUUGAAACACCUAGUACCGUCUCUCCAUCCAUGUUGUCAUCAAUAAGUACCAAAGAAGACGAUAUGACUGAAUCGUCUUUUUCCUCUAAGCUAUGGAAAACAAGUCUUCAUUCCGAUGCUCAUCCUACUUUAAAAAGAAAAUUCCCAGAAGAUCAACUAAAAGAAAAUAUGUCAAACUAUUCGACAGCACAUUCCUCAAUUGUUGACAGUAAAGAAGAUAGAUCAACUUAUUCCAGGCACCAAACUUCCUUUGGAAGUAAUGCUAGAUCCUCUGAACCUGCAUCAAGCUUCACAAGACACUCAUUUCUGAAUUCAAGUCAAGAUCACGAUAACAGUUUACCAACUGACAAGGAAGAAUCUCUUAUGUCUGCUGGAUAUGAGCAAAACUCGCAUGUUGAGUCCCAAAAUGAAAAACCUCAUUUAGUCCAGCCUGCUGACAGGAUGUGUCAAAAUUCUCAGGGUCAACGUUCGCCAACAGAUACUGUACAUAUGAAUAAUAUGAGAGGGCUGCCUGUGGGUGACUCAGAAAAAACACGGCAAUUUCGAUUUCAAGUUGGAGUGACAAACUCACAUGUGCAGGCAACUUUGCAAACCAUGUAUAGUUCGGAGAGAGCUGAUAUUUCUGAUAGGCUUAAUGUGCAAACACAUAAUCUGUUGGGAUCAGGCCCCUUGCUGCCCCUGUUUCAGCUUCAACAGCAAAGACAGCAAAUACAGUUGGCUCAGCAGCAGCAGCAGUUAAUGCAGCAACAAAGAUUGAUGCAGCAACAACAGGAGCUUCAGGAACAACAGGUCUUAGAACAAGAAUGUCUUUUACAACAACAGUUAGCACAACAACAGAAACUUUUGCAAAAGCAGCAGCAAGAACAACACAAACUCCUGCAAAAAGAAUUGCAGCAUUUGCAGUCAUGUAUUGAGCAGUCCCUAAUUAUUGGAGAACCUAAUAUGCCAUGUCUGGGGACCAACUCGGGAUUGGAUCAUAAUCAGGUUUCAAACCUUCCGUUAUCUGCUCUGGGUGGUGGGGAUAAAAGUGUAUCUGUUGCCCAAAUGGAAAUUGCUUUGAACAAUGGCCAUGGUAGACCAGAAAUUUCUCCUGAAGAGUCCUCUUUCACAUCUCACAUUAAGAAUGAGGUGGGUGACAGGCCUACUUCCUGCAAGAAAAGUUGUAAUACUGGUAACAAGAACACAAGUUCAGAUGCUUGCAGCAAUCAAUCAAAAACCCCAGGCCCAAACCCUAGACCAGAGGGAAAAGAAAAUAUAAAAACAGACAGUGCUGUAAUACAAAAUGAAACGGGCCAGGAUACAAAAUUUUGUGGAGUGCGUCAAAAGAAUAGUCACCUUAACUCCAAAAGCAUGUGUUUAUCGGCUACCUCUACAACCAUGUCAACCAAGAGUUCUGUCAGUCAUAGAGACUCUCAUAAAUCACAUGAUCUCAAAGAAUGCUGCUUUGUCACAAUUCCUACAAGUCUACAUGUGUGUUUUCAACCAGGCAAAAAAUCAAGUAAUGUUUUACCUGCAAUCCCAAAAUUUCAGAAACCAAAGUGCUGUAAAAUCAAAUCUGCAAGAAGUGCUUCAAAAGGAACUUCUUUGGACUCAGGGAAUUUCAGUGGCAGUGAUGAAAUCUCUUAUGACUGUAAUGUAAAUGAGUGGCAGAUGCGGCAUUUCCUCAAGAUAUUGAAUGUACCUAUACUCCUUCUGGUCAACAUAUUGAAUCAUGCACUGCAAAGUAUGUUUUUGGCAAUACUUACUCUCCUGGUCCCUCUGCCGCUGCACCAUUAGAAGCAAGAGUUAUCGCGCCUCAAGAUCACAAUUCUUUGGGUGCAGCAGUGCAGGCGGAUAAAGAAAACCCACACAUAACAUUCCACAUGGUUCAGUCAUCAGCAAAGGGUCACCUUGGUCACUCCCCAUCAGCCCCAACAGAGACUCCAUGUAGCACCACUGCAUACCCACGCGACAUUG
rnacentral:misc_RNA from 1 species